AGGAGGAGGCUCUCCCGGCCCUCUUGUUGCUCCUCAAAGGGGCACGGAGACAUGAGAACUGAAUACAUCCGCAUGGGUGCUGCGCACCUGGGCUGCAGGUCUUCCCGGUGGCGUCCUGCUCUGGGAGGUGGCUGGGGAGCAGCACUGGGGAGAGGAGCUGCCUGAGGAAGAGGCUGAUUUCCAAUGAGGACAACUCCAGGAAUUUACAGAUGUGUGCUGGAGUUCAAAUAAGAUAAGAUUUAAAAUCCCUAAAGCGAAGCACAGCAUCAAGAACCAGGUGUUCAGCCCCAGGACUGCCU